CCUACGGGAGGCAGCAGUCGAGAAUAAUUCACAAUGGGGGAAACCCUGAUGGUGCGACGCCGCGUGGGGGAAUGAAGGUCUUCGGAUUGUAAACCCCUGUCAUGUGGGAGCAAAUUAAAAAGAUAGUACCACAAGAGGAAGAGACGGCUAACUCUGUGCCAGCAGCCGCGGUAAUACAGGGGUCUGAAGCGGUGUUCGGAAUCACUGGGGGUAAAGGGUGCGUAGGCUGUUUCGUAAGUCAUGUGGGAAAGGCGCGGGGUCAAACCGCGGACGGCACAUGACACUGGGCGACUAGAGUGAGGGAGAGGGAAGCGGAAUGCGCGGUGUAGCAGUGAAAUGCGUAGAUAUCGAGAGGAACACUCGUGGCGAAGGCAGGUUCCUGGAGAUUAACUGACGCUGAGGCACGAAGGUGAGGGGAGCGAAAGGGAUUAGAUACCCGAGUAGUC
rnacentral:rRNA from 1 species